UUUUCUUGUUGGCAGGCGGUAAGCAGACAGAGUUCAGCUAAGGGGAUUAGAGCUGCUAUCAGGCAGACGGGGCCAGGAGGGUCCACAGGAAAUGAUCGCGGCCUCAUGCAGGCAGGUUAGGGGCCAGAGUCACCAGACUCGCUGCUGCAACCAGGAGAACAAGAGGAGAAACGCUGGGAAGAGAAAUAACAUGAGUGCUUAAGAAGUCACAAAAGGAAAACCUUGACACAGUGGGAGAGGAAAAGUUGGUUUAAAGAAGGAAGGAACUAUGAUUUUCUAUCAGCUUAAGUCAAGACUCUGACUUUUAUUCAACGGCAUUAAGAGCUGUCAUCAGAAAGGAUCUGCUGGAAGCCACGCGUGUUCCACUGGAAUCUCAGAUCGCGGGAUGCUGAACCAGCACAGCUGUGAAUUGUGUUGAGCUGCGGAGUGAAGAUUGUGAUGCAAAUGCUUCAGGGAGCAGAGUCGUGUAGGAAUGCACCGCUGUCCAAUCCUCCCAGCCAUGCUGUGUUUUCUGCUGCAGAUCAGGGUGGAAAGGAGAUGAAAGAGAGAAGAAAUCUGCCAUGAAUCUGCAGCGGGCAUGCAGCACGGAGAACCGGGGAUUCUGCUGCUCUGGACACGACUAUGUCACUUUUAGAGCAUACUUAGGUGUUAAAGAACAUCCUGAAAAGCGUGCAGUUUCCGCCGCUUGUGUUUAUAAAAACCUCUUUGGAGAGAAAAUGGAGGAGGAGGUGGCAUUUUACCUGCAGGGACAUUCACGUCUCAGUGCUGAGCGACAGCAGCGAUUGGCUCGGCGCAGAGCGAGAACAAAAACGUGUCAUCCUCUGAGCUGUGCUGCAGUUUGAAUUAUUUUAACUCGGGCGCAGAGAUCUGUGACGAUACCCCGACACGACCCAUUAGAAGGAAUCUCUCUCUCACACACACACGCACACGCUCAUGCAAGGGCUCCUGCGCCUUUCAGUAAUGCAAGACUCUGAAAAAAGGACAAUUGUUUAUUUCCCUUCUGGAGAUCUAAUGAGAUCAUUAGUUCCUGCCACCUCCAGCAUCCUGCACACAUGCACCACUCCAUGCUUCUGCUUGGCCUCAGCUCAAAAACAAAAGAUGUAAAUAUUAGGUUUUGGCCAUUAAAAACGAGUUGGAAAUGUGGAAAGAGCAGCAGGGCCACGAGAGGGAGAAGAAGGACAAGUGAGGAGAGCUGGGAGCCGUGGCAGA